rnacentral:rRNA from 1 species
GUCUACAGUCAUGCCACCCUGAAUGUGCCUGAUAUCGUCUGAUCUCAGAAGCUAAGCAGCGUCGGGCCUGGUUAGUACUUGGAUGGGAGACAACCUAGGAGGACCAGGUGCUGUAGACG